AUCCCAGGACCCUGAGGUCGUGACCGAAGGCCGAUGCUUAACCAACUGAGCCACUCAGGUGGCAGUGGGCCUACAUCAUGGGUUGUAGCAGAUGUUCUCAACAUAUCUAUUGAAACUUCUUUACAGUCCCUUGAAAGAGGAGCCCAAGAGCCUCAUCUGUGUGGUAGCUACCGUGCUCUGAUAUAAGCUGUUGUUCACCAGGGAGCUUUGGCAGGAGAGCUGGCCAGAUGAGCAAGUUCAUCUCCGUUGUGGAAAAACAACAUGAAGCUCAUCUCUGUUGAAGCUUGAUAAUCGUUUUGGUGGAGGGAUGAUUCUAGAGCUUCCUACUCUGUCAUCAUCCAUGACACCACUCCCUGCUGAGUUCAUUUUUAAAAGUGUUCCAGUUCGGCAAUAAGUUUCAUGGUCGCCCAUUGAUGUACUGUCUGUAGGACAGGGGUAGACUGAAUACCUGCUUCACUGAAUACCUGCUUCACAGCACCUUUCACAUUUUCUUGUUGGAAAGACAACCGUUGGAGAAUCAUCUUGUUACCAUCAGCAAAAAUGCAAACAAAUCAAGACAUUAAGAAUGCCACAGUGGCCAGCAGUUAAUGAUGCCAGUGUUACGCAAGCUGCAGCAAGGUUUUCAAGACAGUGUGCCUCACUAGCCAGAAAUCAGGGAAGAUCGAACCUAUCCUUUUUGUCUCAGCUGUUCCUUAAAUCAAUGCAACCCCUCCAAAUUAAUGUGAAUUGAAACAUGCAUUGCCUUUUCAACUUAAUUGAGUACUUACUAUGGGUGAAUCACUGCACAAAAUAGGGGAGGGAAAAUGAGGGAGACAAGUAAGAUGUGUUUCCUGCCUUCAAUGGAUUUACAAUUAGUUUCAAGGCGCUUUUUUUUUUCUUCUGCUCUUAAUUAAGUGUGUUUCUAAGAUAGAAAACAAAUGAAUGGAAAAGUGUAUUCUGCAAGUAUUUUAAAUCCCUUUAAUAAAAAACAAAACAAAACAAUCUAA